AGUGAACGCUGGCGGUAGGCCUAACACAUGCAAGUCGAACGGCAGCACAGUAAGAGCUUGCUCUUACGGGUGGCGAGUGGCGGACGGGUGAGGAAUACAUCGGAAUCUACUUUUUCGUGGGGGAUAACGUAGGGAAACUUACGCUAAUACCGCAUACGACCUACGGGUGAAGGCAGGGGAUCUUCGGACCUUGCGCGAUUGAAUGAGCCGAUGUCGGAUUAGCUAGUUGGCGGGGUAAAGGCCCACCAAGGCGACGAUCCGUAGCUGGUCUGAGAGGAUGGUCAGCGACACUGGAACUGAGACACGGUCCAGACUCCUACGGGAGGCAGCAGUGGGGAAUAUUGGACAAUGGGCGCAAGCCUGAUCCAGCCAUACCGCGUGGGUGAAGAAGGCCUUCGGGUUGUAAAGCCCUUUUGUUGGGAAAGAAAAGCAGCAGGUUAAUACCCCGCUGUUCUGACGGUACCCAAAGAAUAAGCACCGGCUAACUUCGUG
rnacentral:rRNA from 1 species